UGGUGAACCAGCGGAGGGAUCAUUACUGAGUCACGUGCUCAAACAACCCUUCUGUGGACCUAAAUCAAACCGUUGCCUCGGCGGGCGGUCCCCUGCCAAAACCCACGUGGUGCGGGGCAGGGGACCAGACAGUUCGGUACGCUUAAGGCGUCCGGCGCCAGCCGCUGGCCCUAAACAAUUAAACUCUAGUAACCUUACCUUCUGAGUUUUAAUACAAAAAAAUAAGUCAAAACUUUCAACAACGGAUCUCUUGGCUCUGG
rnacentral:misc_RNA from 1 species